UACGUAGGGGCCGAGCGUUAUCCGGAGUUACUGGGCGUAAAGCGUGCGCAGGCGGCGCGUUCUGCCCGGCGUGAAAGCCCCCGGCUCAACUGGGGAGGGUCACGCGAUACUGAUCGACUCGAAGGCAGGAGAGGGUAGUGGAAUUCCCGGUGUAGUGGUGAAAUGCGUAGAUAUCGGGAGAACACCAGUGGCGAAGGCGACUACCUGGCCUGUUUCUUGACGCUGAGGCGCGAAAGCUAGGGGAGCAAACGGG
rnacentral:rRNA from 1 species